AACGAACGCUGGCGGCAGGCUUAACACAUGCAAGUCGAACGCCCCGCAAGGGGAGUGGCAGACGGGUGAGUAACGCGUGGGAAUCUACCCAAUACUACGGAAUAGCUCCGGGAAACUGGAAUUAAUACCGUAUGUGCCCUACGGGGGAAAGAUUUAUCGGUAUUGGAUGAGCCCGCGUUGGAUUAGCUAGUUGGUGGGGUAAUGGCCUACCAAGGCGACGAUCCAUAGCUGGUCUGAGAGGAUGAUCAGCCACACUGGGACUGAGACACGGCCCAGACUCCUACGGGAGGCAGCAGUGGGGAAUAUUGGACAAUGGGCGAAAGCCUGAUCCAGCCAUGCCGCGUGAGUGAUGAAGGCCUUAGGGUUGUAAAGCUCUUUCAGUAGGGACGAUAAUGACGGUACCUACAGAAGAAGCCCGGCUAACUUCGUGCCAGCAGCCGGGUAAUAGUGUGUGUA
rnacentral:rRNA from 1 species